AAGUCGUAACAAGGUUUCUAUAGGUGAACCUGUGGAAGGAUCAUUAUCGUGAGGCUUCAGCCUUAUUGAGAUAGAACCCUUGCCUUUAUAGUACCUUCUGUUGCCUCGGCAAUGCGUAAUAGCACAGCCAAUGGGGCCAAAAAUAAACCUUUGUAUUAUAGUUAUAGUCUGAAAACAAACAAAAUUAAAA
rnacentral:misc_RNA from 1 species